AUUUAUGGAAGCAGUUGCAUCCAUCUGCCAUGGCCUGGAAAUUUUAGUUGCUGCUGGUGUUCUGCAGGGGAAGAAAUGUACUGGAUACCCAGGGAUUAAGGCUCGUG